rnacentral:lncRNA from 1 species
UGGCCACAGAGUUGCCUUAUUUUAGGUAAAACAAUGUCAGGGAAGAAAUCUUUACCUAUGAAACCGUGGGGGUGAGUUGCCUUAUUUUAGGUAAAACAAUGUCAGGGAAGAAAUCUUUACCUAUGAAACCGUGUGUGUGUGUGUCUGUGUGUUUGUGUGUGUGUGUGUGUUUGUGCUGGGAUGAACUUCCAAGUAUGUAGUUUUGGCAGCUACCAUCAUCCUCUCAGCGACGGAAGGACAAGAAGUCGGAAGUGCGCUUUCUGACCUGAGAAUAGUCAAUGAAGUAUGGUAUUUAGCACAGCGUAUUUUUUUCUUUAAUAAGAAAGGAGAGAUCCGUGGAAUCAAACAGACCUUCCAGCGAUAACCUUUCCACGUUCAGCCUAUUGAUUCUCUAUCCAAGUGAAAUUACCUGCCAGUGGAGAACAAGACAAGUCUUUGCAUGAAAUGCUCUUGUGGAAGCUAGAUUGCCAAAUAAUAAAGCAUCAAAUGGUAGAACCAUGCAC